UAAUACCUUGUAAAUUGCAAUGAACCAGAAUACAUUUGGCAAGUUUAUUACUACCUCUACAAGAAUCAAAUUCUAAUCUUCUCUACUACACGUUUUUCAGUUUGUGACAUUUAGAAAGCACAACUAUAAAGUUCAAUAGAUUUCUGUAAAAGAAAUCGAACAUAACGCAAAUGAAAAUCAAUUGUGACAAAAGAAAUCAAACAAUGUAGGGGGUGAAGAAUAAGCUGUUAAAAGUACUUUGGAGGCCAUAAUUUCAUUAGCUGCUUCAGUAUAAUGGAUCCCAUCCCAGCUUAAAAAUCGAGAUCCUUCAUCACAGACCUGAUAGCCAGGCUGACCACAUGUUACCUUGAUAUUGUAAUUGUAUGGACGUCCUCCAUAACCACAACAUGCCAUUAGCGGACUUGAAAAACCUGCAAGGUCAAAAAAAUAAAAAAAUGAAGUAAUGCAUUUACUCAAAACUGUUAACAGUUCUUGCAAAGAUAUCUCAAAUAAGGUUUGCUUAUUUGAUAGGAACACCUACUCUUUUACUUCCCAAUUCAUAUUUAGAUUUUCUGGAAAAGAAGUCGUGUGAAUUUGCAUAUUAUAGCACAGCAUCAGAACUACACUAUGAUUGAGAAAUUAGAAAAUGAUUCAACUGUUGGUCUAUCUUAUAAAGGAAUUUUAGACAUUUACAAACAGGAUUUAGAAUGCAAAACAUCAGGUAAUUGGUAUUAAAUGGUUAUCACUUGUCAGGAAUGUGCGAGUCUUGUGCUCUUGUGCAUGAUCUUUCAUCUUCACAGUCAACAACAGCAGAAAAUACUUUCCAAGCAAAGAAGAAAAUGAGAAAAAGAACAAUCUUUAACUUACCAUAUUUGGAGGAGUUGGCAAUGAGAUCAUAUUUGAUCGAAUACAUAUCUACAUAAACUAUAGCUGCACCUGUCAACUGAGGCCUCAUCCUUUGGCAUGAACGGUGCAGUUCUUCAUUGAACAAAUUUGCAGCACUAUUGUAACUUGAAAUACAUCCAUGUUGAUCAAGAUCCAUCUUCUGAACUAAUGCAAGUUUUUGAGGGAGACAACCAAAUGGUCCAGUGUUAUGUAUCCAGAAUUUCCUGCCUCCUUGAUCAUAUAAAGUCUAUUUGAUAUGAAAAGGCAAAAUUCUUCUUAGCAGGGAACAUUUGACAACACCACAAGUGCAAUUACCAUUUACCCAGCUCUUUUGGAUUACUAAACUUACCUUUACAGCAUUUUCGAUUUCUUGAAUGAUGGAUGGAAUCCUUUUGAUCACUUGAACAUAGGAUAGGUUUUUAGAGAAUGAAUCAGCAAGGUCAUUUUGUCCAAUAUCAAUCAUGUAAAGUGCAUUCCGGAAACCUUCAUCAUUGAUUAUAUUUCCUAAACCGAAAAAAGAAAACUCUGCAUAUACUCAGUUUACUUGUCUAAUAUCUACAAUAUUUGCAGCAGAGUUGCAUAAAUAUUUUUAAAAGUUAACUGACAUAUCAUCCAAUUAGACUCCAAGUCUUUUAGUUCAGGGGAGAGAACGGGCACCCAUGUUUGAUUUCAAACAACCUAAACUAUGAGACAGAUAUUUGAUCACUCGUUUACUAAUCCAAUAGCUAAACACACACACACACGCGCACACACACACACAUGUUAAAAGAAAAUUAACGAGACAUUACCAGCAUUAACAAGUUCAAGGACACGAGCUUUGAAAUGAAGGAACUGCAUUAUUUGAAUAUUCAAUGAAAAGGGAACAAACUUUGGAAGAGUAGAAGACCCCACAACUGCAAAGUUUGCACCAUUUGAGAACUUGGACCCUCCUAAUGAAUCCAGAUAUGGGCUUAGAAAACUAGCGUUCAAACUUUGGCAGAGGAAGUCGAUCAGGAGGCGUCCGUCAGACAAUCUACCGGUUGAUGGGCGGAAGAAUAAGCGGCCAUUGGGGAGAUUUAUAGGGAAGCCGAGGCCAGCGGCCAGUCCACCGGUGUCGGAGUUAGAAUCCCCAAAGUUGAAGAUGAUAGGCGGGCUCUUGCACUGAGAGUGAGAAGCAAAAGAAGUGAAAAAUAACGGAAGAAAAAUAACGAGAAGAAUGAAGUUUAGAGAUUGGGAUAGCAAAGAGGGAAACGCCAUUAAUGAGGUCCGAACUCAGAAGCGAAAUGCAGCGAAGCGAAGCGCGUUUUACUCUGGUGUUGCUUGCGUUUUAUAUAAUAUAGGCGAGUGAAG
rnacentral:misc_RNA from 1 species